rnacentral:rRNA from 1 species
GGAUUUACUGGGUGUAAAGGGCGCGCAGGCGGGUCGGUCAGUCAGAGGUGAAAGCCCACAGCUUAACUGUGGAACUGCCUUUGAUACUGCCGAUCUUGGGUGCGGGAGAGAGAAGCGGAAUUCCAGGUGUAGUGGUGAAAUACGUAGAUAUCUGGAAGAACACCGGUUGCGAAGGCGGCUUCUUGGACCGACACUGACGCUGAGGCGCGAAAGCGUGGGGAGCGAACAGGAUUAGAUACCCUGGUAGUCCACGCUGUAAACGAUGAAUGUUAGAUGUCGGGGGAUUUUUCCUUCGGCGUCAAAGUUAACGCAUUAAACAUUCCACCUGGGAAGUACGAUCGCAAGGUUGAAACUCAAAGGAAUUGACGGGGGCCCGCACAAGCAGUGGAGCAUGUGGUUUAAUUCGAUGCAACGCGAAGAACCUUACCUAGGCUUGAAAUGUGUUCGAUCGGUCGUGAAAGCGACCUUCCUUCGGGCGGACACACAGGUGCUGCAUGGCUGUCGUCAGCUCGUGCCGCGAGGUGUUGGGUUAAGUCCCGCAACGAGCGCAACCCCUACCAUUAGUUGCCACCGGGUAAUGCCGAGCACUCUAAUGGAACUGCCUACGCAAGUAGUGAGGAAGGUGGGGACGACGUCAAGUCCGCAUGGCCCUUACGCCUAGGGCUACACACGUGCUACAAUGGGCGCAACAAUGGGCAGCGAUACCGCGAGGUGGAGCGAAUCCCUAAAAAGCGUCCUCAGUUCGGAUUGGAGUCUGCAACUCGACUUCAUGAAGUUGGAAUUGCUAGUAAUCGCGUAUCAGCAUGACGCGGUGAAUACGUUCCCGGGCC